rnacentral:rRNA from 1 species
CACGUAGGGGGCGAGCGUUGUCCGGAUUUAUUGGGCGUAAAGAGCUCGUAGGCGGUUCGUCGCGUCGGCUGUGAAAACCCGGAGCUCAACUCCGGGCCUGCAGUCGAUACGGGCGGACUUGAGUGUUGCAGGGGAGACUGGAAUUCCUGGUGUAGCGGUGAAAUGCGCAGAUAUCAGGAGGAACACCGGUGGCGAAGGCGGGUCUCUGGGCAACUACUGACGCUGAGGAGCGAAAGCGUGGGGAGCGAACAGG